rnacentral:rRNA from 1 species
UCACUCUAGCGAGACUGCCGGUGACAAACCGGAGGAAGGCGGGGCAGACGUCAGAUCAUCAUGCCCCUUAUGACCUGGGCUACACACGUGCUACAAUGGCGUAUACAACGAGUUGCCAACCCGCGAGGGUGAGCUAAUCUCUUAAAGUACGUCUCAGUUCGGAUUGUAGUCUGCAACUCGACUACAUGAAGUCGGAAUCGCUAGUAAUCGCGGAUCAGCACGCCGCGGUGAAUACGUUCCCGGGUCUUGUACACACCGCCCGUCACACCAUGGGAGUUUGUAAUGCCCAAAGCCGGUGGCCUAACCUUUUAGGAAGGAGCCGUCUAAGGCAGGACAGAUGACUGGGGUGAAGUCGUAACAAGGUAACCGAA